CCCUGACCCCAGCUUGGAGCAUGAUCUCGCCACCACACUUCUCGGCCUAGGGAUGAAGGCGGUGGCUCAGCUGGAGAGGGUGGGUGGAGGCGGGCGGUGACAGGCAGUGACAGGCAGUGACAGGCGGUGACAGGCAGUGACAGGCGGUCACAGGCGGUGACAGGCGCUGACAGGCGGUCACAGGUGGUGACAGGUGGUCACAGGCGGUGACAGGCAGUGACAGGCAAUCAGUGACAGGCUGUGACAGGUGGUCACAGGCGGUGACAGGUGGUCACAGACAGUGACAGGCAAUCAGUGACAGGAGGUGACAGGCAGUGACAAGCGGUGACAGGCAUUGACAGGCAGUGGCAGGCGGUGACAGAUGGUCACAGGCGGUGACAGGCAGUGAUAGGCAAUCAGUGACAGGCAGUCACAGGUGGUGACAGGCAUUGACAGGCGGUGACAGGCGGUCACAGGCAGUGACAGGCAAUCAGUGACAGGCAGUGACAAGCGGUGACAGGCAUUGACAGGCGGUGACAGGCGGUGACAAGCAAUCAGUGGCAGGUGGUCACAAGCAGUGACAGGCAAUCAGUGGCAGGCAGUGACAGACAGUGACAGGCGGUCACGGGCAGUGACAGGCAGUGACAGGUGGUCACAGGCGGUGACAGGCAGUGACAGGUGGUCACAGGCGGUCACAGGCAGUGACAGACAGUGACAGCCGGUCACAGGCAGUGACAGGCAGCGGUGGGACCGCAGCUCUGCUGCUCGGUGGUGCGGCCUGCAGGCCAAAGGUGAAUGGGAUUUAUCCUGGGCACAGCGAUCCAUUUCUAACAGGAGCCCUUGGAACCUGAACGAGGUGUGUGAAAAAUGAGGGUGCUACAGACGGAGUGAUGGCAAUAGAGAGUGAUGCCGAGGCAACAAGAUAAUGCUUGAGCUAUGCAAAAAGCUGUAGCUAUGCAGAAGGAAGUUACUUUGUAACAGGUGUGAAAAACACGUUCACUCUCCUGUGAAAAUUUAAACAGUUUAAUAAAGGACAAUAGGAGACAAAGACAGUAAAGCAAAGAUUAAGGCAGGUAUGUCAUGGCACUUAGCCAAGAGCACACUGUUAUCUUCAGAGAUACUCCUUAAAUACCUUUUCCAUUACAUCAGCUCUUUGCAUAUUCAUAGAUCCUUAUUCAUAUCCAUAAACUAGUAUACUUAUUCCAGGAACUGUUUUACAUGGCCUCUCCUUGGGUCCAGCUUUUUAGAGCAUGCAUGUUUCUUGGCUGUGGUUUUUGGCUCCUUCUCCUUAUCACUUCCUUAUCACAAGUUUGGGCCUUGGUCCAUACUUUCUGCACACAGCAGAUGCUGAUAGUUGGCAUAUCAAUAGCAGAGUCCUCAUUACAUCUUCGCUGGAUGUUAUCCUGACAAAACAGAGAGUUACUCAGAACUAUAUCCGCUACCACUACUACUUAUGUCUAAGUUUUUGUUAACAGCAGAAAUAAAAGCAAAGUUAUUUUAACAUUAUACAUAUAACAUUCGUGCUAAUAUUUGCAAAAAGCCAACAACAUAAUGUGUAUAUAUAACAAUGGGUAUGUGAAUUAAGCACUUUUUAGAAAUCAGCAAAUUUAGCAGAAUAAGCUAAUUACAAAAAGCUAACCACUGGCUAUCUGAGCAGACAAUCUCAUAGAGCAGGCGCAGAAACAGAGGUGAAAAGUUCAAGCCUGAGGAAGACUUCUGAGCCUUCAUCAAAAAUGACCACAGGAGGCUGUCGACCACCUCGUGCAGAAACCGCUCACGUGCUGCAAGGGCUUACACAAUCACGUGAUCAGAAAAUAUCAAUGUUACAAUGUGAAGGCCUGGCUGCUGAGGACAAUCUGUGUGAGAUCUGUGCCAGUGCUGCCUGCACCAUCUGCUUCUGACAAGUCCCUCGGGCAUUGCCUUCGCUGCUCCCAAAAUGGCGGCCAGAAACAACCUCGGCAGUAUGCAAAUGAGGUGAAGCAGAACAGAAUCCACCAAAAGGGCCUAAAACCACCAAACUAACGUGGAAACUCGAGGAACCAAGUGACUAGACCUAGUGGGAAGAGUCCUCCCAUGCCAUCAAUCGAGUUCUGGAGGUCACCACCACCUGAAAGUAGCCGGACCGAGAUGAGGACCCUAGUCUACGAGCUACUGAUCGUCUUCCUAGGCACGCCCUCG